CAGCAGCCGCGGGAAUACGUAGGUGGCAAGCGUUGUCCGGAAUUAUUGGGCGUAAAGGGUGCGUAGGCGGGUCCUUAAGUCAGGGGUGAAAUCCUGGAGCUCAACUCCAGAACUGCCUUUGAUACUGAAGACCUUGAGUUCGGGAGAGGUGAGUGGAACUGCGAGUGUAGAGGUGAAAUUCGUAGUUAUUCGCAAGAACACCAGUGGCGAAGUCGGCUCACUGGCUCGAUACUGACGCUGAGGCACGAAAGCGUGGGGAGCAAACAGGACUAGAGACCCCAGUAGUCCCUGUCUCUUAUAC
rnacentral:rRNA from 1 species